AAGUCGAACGAAACUUUUUUUAUCACCGAGUGCUUGCACUCACCGAUAAAGAGUUGAGUGGCGAACGGGUGAGUAACACGUGGGCAACCUGCCCAAAAGAGGGGGAUAACACUUGGAAACAGGUGCUAAUACCGCAUAACCAUAGUUACCGCAUGGUAACUAUGUAAAAGGUGGCUAUGCUACCGCUUUUGGAUGGGCCCGCGGUGCAUUAGCUAGUUGGUGGGGUAAAGGCUUACCAAGGCAAUGAUGCGUAGCCGAACUGAGAGGUUGAUCGGCCACAUUGGGACUGAGACACGGCCCAAACUCCUACGGGAGGCAGCAGUAGGGAAUCUUCCACAAUGGGCGAAAGCCUGAUGGAGCAACGCCGCGUGGGUGAAGAAGGUCUUCGGAUCGUAAAACCCUGUUGUUAGAGAAGAAAGUGCGUGAGAGUAACUGUUCACGUUUCGACGGUAUCUAACCAGAAAGCCACGGCUAACUACGUGCCAGCAGCCGCGGUAAUACGUAGGUGGCAAGCGUUAUCCGGAUUUAUUGGGCGUAAAGGGAACGCAGGCGGUCUUUUAAGUCUGAUGUGAAAGCCUUCGGCUUAACCGGAGUAGUGCAUUGGCCACUGGGAGACUUGAGUGCAGA
rnacentral:rRNA from 1 species